rnacentral:tRNA from 1 species
UGGCUCAGACGGUAAAGCGCCUGCCUGCAACGCAGGAGACCCAGCUUCAAUCCCUGG